UACGUAGGGUGCAAGCGUUGUCCGGAAUUAUUGGGCGUAAAGAGCUCGUAGGCGGUCUGUCGCGUCUGCUGUGAAAACUCAGGGCUUAACCCUGAGCUUGCAGUGGGUACGGGCAGACUAGAGUGCGGUAGGGGAGACUGGAAUUCCUGGUGUAGCGGUGAAAUGUGCAGAUAUCAGGAGGAACACCGGUGGCGAAGGCAGAUCUCUGGGCCGUAACUGACGCUGAGGAGCGAAAGCAUGGGGAGCGAACAGG
rnacentral:rRNA from 1 species